rnacentral:rRNA from 1 species
UGGGGAAUCUUGGACAAUGGGCGCAAGCCUGAUCCAGCCAUGCCGCGUGAGUGAAGAAGGCCUUAGGGUUGUAAAACUCUUUCGCCGGAGAAGAUAAUGACGGUAUCCGGAGAAGAAGCCCCGGCUAACUUCGUGCCAGCAGCCGCGGUAAUACGAAGGGGGCUAGCGUUGUUCGGAAUUACUGGGCGUAAAGCGCACGUAGGCGGGUCUGUAAGUAGAGGGUGAAAUCCCAGGGCUCAACCCUGGAACUGCCUUCUAGACUGCAGGCCUGGAGGUCAGGAGAGGCGAGCGGAAUUCCGAGUGUAGAGGUGAAAUUCGUAGAUAUUCGGAGGAACACCAGUGGCGAAGGCGGCUCGCUGGACUGAUACUGACGCUGAGGUGCGAAAGCGUGGGGAGCAAACAGGAUUAGAUACCCAAGUAGUCCCUGAGCGGGCUGGCAAGGCGCAU